rnacentral:rRNA from 1 species
UACGUAGGUUGCAAGCGUUAAUCGGAAUUACUGGGCGUAAAGCGAGUGUAGGCGGCUUCGUAAGUCGGAUGUGAAAGCCCUGGGCUUAACCUGGGAAUUGCAUUCGAUACUGCGCGGCUAGAGUCUGAUAGAGGGAAGUGGAAUUCCAGGUGUAGCGGUGAAAUGCGUAGAUAUCUGGAGGAACACAAGUGGCGAAGGCGGCUUCCUGGAUCAAGACUGACGCUGAGGCUCGAAAGCGUGGGGAUCAAACGGG